rnacentral:lncRNA from 1 species
UACCUGUGAGUCCUGCUGCUUCUGCUGAUAAGAAGGCACUCCACGAAAGUAGAAAAAAUAGCCCAGUCUCCAGCAUCGGAAACUCGCACAGCUUAGUAAAUUUUGUCAGGUGACCAAUGUUAUUAAGGAAAAUAAAAUAAUCUAUGCCAUAGAAAUAAUUCAAAACAUGUCUAUUCCUCUCUAACAAGUUCAUAUGGGGCCAAACAGAACAGAAGAAAACUUUAAAUAAUUCUUGUUAUUUGUACUUAUUUAAAGAUAACAUCAGGGGAUCAUGGAGAACAGAGUAAUGUUCAAUCUGCAGGCAAUGGUAUUAGCAUUAUUUUUCUACCCCUGUUCUCCCCCCCAUAUGUAGCACUUCUGGAGUAUUUGUGAAGCUUAUUUUAAAGGGAAAGUAAAUUUUUAUUUUUUUUAAAUUAAUUUUAAAUGAUAGUGUUUUCAAGUGAUUGGGAGAUAUUUAAGCUGCCAUAGUUCCAGGCUCUAUCUACACUAAAGUAACUUGGUGCCAGGAGUAUGACACCUCUGGCAUUUCCCAUGGUACAUUACUAUAGUCAACUGUAUGCCAAUCCCUCCUGGAGACGGAAAAUUAUUUUUUAGUCGUCCACUAAUGGUUAAGUGUAGCGAACCACUUGUACUACGUAUAGUAUGUUUGUUCACACUCUCCCACACUCUUAGAGGGUUAAAUGAUUAUAGCCCGUUUGCACAGUAUGUUAUUUUGUACUCUGCAGAAAACCAAGCAGGUCGUGGGAAAAAUCAAGCGCUUCGUCAUUUGCAUACCCAAACAUCAGUCAAGACUUGAUGAAGGGUACAACUGGAAUGAUUUAUUACGGCCAGAUGGCCAACUUUUAUACACAGACCCCCAGCAUGGGGUCUCCAGCAAAAGUAUAGUAAAACAUGCCCAGUGGUCUCUGUGUCUGGGAGUAAUNNNNNNNNNNNNNNNNNNNNNNNNNNNNNNNNNNNNNNNNNNNNNNNNNNNNNNNNNNNNNNNNNNNNNNNNNNNNNNNNNNNNNNNNNNNNNNNNNNNNUGAGUGUACUUUGCUUAAACUAAUUAUCUCCCAGGCACUAGAGGUACAGAGAAUAAAACAUAAAACACCCCAAAACAUACAUAAUAUUAAUAGGGACCCCCACAAAUCCUAUAUUCCUGGAUAUCAGCCAGGAUCUCAGCGCCCAAAGUGUCCAAAUAGCGCUCAGAUCCCAUGAAUACAGACAAAUCGGCAUUUUGGCUGACCGCACACGUGGCGUCUGCUCAAAAUAGUUCCAUUAGAAAAGUGGUAGCGGUCGGUCACUUUUGGGAGUCCCAAAACGAACCAAAUACCGAAUGGUUCCCCUGGCUGAAUUUAUUGGUGGUCCUCGAAAGCUUUCACUCGACUAUACCGUCGGGUGAAAGCUUUUGCAUACCGGCAAUAGCACCGGGAAAUGUGUCUCCCUCUCUGGCCCGCUCGCAGUGUACAGCAGGCAGCCGGCAGGCUCUAACCUGCAGCUCCGCCGGAUUCUCCUCUCGCGACUUUGGAGCAUUGCCAUGGUUACCACGGCAACGCUCCAAAUCUCACGACAGUGAAAUCUAGCCUCUCCUGAGGCUGUUAGACUUCACUAUCAUCACGGGGACCACCAGGGCUUCCCCACCGGACCACCAUGGAUUGCAGGAAAUGUCCCCCCUCCCAGGCAAAAGUAAGAAGGGUGGGGGAUAUCAAAAUUACUAUUUUCCUUUUAAUAUAUAUAUAUAUAUAUAUAUAUAUUUAUUUAUCUACCGCCCAACCUCACAAACCCACAAUCAUUAUCCCCUAUACACACACUGCCCCCUACAUACACACACACACUUCCCCAUAUACCCACUGCCCCUAUUCACACACACUGCCCCCCCCCCCACAACCACACACACACACUGCAUCCCUCACACAUACCAUUGGGUUUUAUUUCUGGCUGACACCGGUCCGUGAAAUAUUUCUCCUCUUUUUGCCGGUCCCCGGGUGCUAAAAGGUUGCAGAACGCUGCCCUGGCUCAUAGGUAGCAAUUGUUCCUCUAGUUUGUUUUCCCGCACACAUGUUGUUCGGUUAUACGAAUGGUGGCUGCCCAGGGAGAGCACUUAAUUAUGUGGUUACUUUGAAGUUAAAUGAGCCAGAGCCAAACUACCGAAUGCAGGAAAUUACAGGGUUUAUCACACUAAGAUAUAAUGCUGUCUCCUGGCUGGGCAUCUUGUGAGAUGUAGUCCAGAAUCAUUGAAAUGCCAAACGUUGCUUUUCCGUGGUAGGGGCUGGAAACCGUUAAAACACUCACUUUUAAGUACAAAAACCUACCAUAAGAAGUGCGUAUUAUGUAAAAUACAAAACAAGAAAAAGAUCAAUAAAUUAGCAUAACUCAUGCCACUUGUGUACAUUUACACUGUAAUUAUAGUUAAAAAAAAUAAUAAAAUAAAAAAUUCAGUUGAGGGAAAAAUCUUAAAUUAAAUGCCUUCUAACUGCUUUUUUAGAUAGUAGGGAGUGAUGACUGAAAGCAUUGCCCAGCAAGAGUGCAUUGCACUGGGAACACAUACAUUUUAUGAAGAUCAACCUCUGACUUCUGAAUUUCAUUGCAUUUUCCCAAAGCAAUUUUGUACUAUUAGAACCAUUUGUGUAAGGGCUAGGAAUGCUGACUAAAGCAAAUACACUCCUAAACAUCUUGAACAUCUUGAUUAAAGCACUGUCUUGGCUGAUAUACGUUAAAGUAACGGAAUCAAUCAAAACUAAAAAGAGUAAAAUAGCAUUCAGAAUUCUACAUUUAUAUCAGCUUAUAUGACAUAUAUAUAUAAACAAAUAGCUUAGCACUUACGGUCUUUAAGUUAAAACUCCAUGCUUUAUUGAAGAAAUAUUUAAAGUUGUGGAUCAACAUUUCAGUCCACGUUCAGGACUUUCCUCAGGAUCAUUUAAAAGUAUGUUUUUUGUAUUGAUCUGCAACUUUUAAAUAUUUCUUCAAUAAAGAAUGUAUUGAAUUUAAAUAUUUCUUCAAUAAAUACACCUACCAUUAAAAUUAUAGACUGGUCAUUUCUUUGUCAGUGGGCAAACAUUCAAAAUCAGCAGGGGAUCAAAACUUUUUCCCCUCACUGUAAAGAAUGUGAGUGCUAAGCUCUUUGUUUACCUACUAGAUAAAUACACACACAUAAACAUAUAUAUAUAUAUAAAAAACAAAACAAAAAUAGUAAUGUACUCCACCUUCCUUGAUGUACUUGCCCGGUGCUUAUCAGCAAACAGAUACAGCCAAAAGUACAAGAUAGCACUCCAGGGACUUCCAAGUUGAAUGAAUAAAACUUAGCUUUUAUUAGCUCAAAAUAAAAAUCAACGUUUCAGUCUGUAUCACAGACUUUCAUCAGGAUGAGCUUGCAAAUCAAAUCCAUAAGAAUAUAUACCCUCAAUAUUCCCUUAACUUAACCAGGUUGAGGAUAGGAGUGAUCCCAGGGGCACCUGACCAGCAGCCUGCUCAGGUCAAACAAUUGACACUGAAGAUGUCAUAGACAUGCGCCUCCCGGAGUCGUUCCCAUAGCAACCCAGUAUAACCAACAAAAUAAUACAUAUACAUAUAACUAAAAACAUGCACAAUAACAAGAAGAUACAAGUAUAGCCACUAAGUAGAGCUGCAGUGAUCUAAAGAGAAGAGGGUACCAAGAAUGACUGGUGUACUCCCAGUCUUGUUAUUGUGCAUUACGUUCUUUUCCCCAUAGGUUUAGUUGGUGGAUAUUUAAUCACAUUUAUCUGGUAUCGUCUUUUCAUGUUUUCUCCCUUUUUUGACUAAGAAGUUCUGACAUUUAUCCUUUACUACUCUUUUUACCUGUAUAAUGAUAUCUAAGGAUUCGGAGUGAUACAUUACUCUUGGUACAAUUAUUCUUUCAAUUGCUGUUUGUUGGUACUUUGCUCCCUGUAGUUAGAUUGGAAUCUCUGCAGGUUUGAUUGCUCAUGUCUGCAUUUUAUUUUUAUUUUUGUAUUUGUAGUAUAAGUUACAUGUCUUCUUUAUGCAUUAUCUAUUCCUUAGGUAGUACAGUUUGUAUAUUUAUAUCUUGUUAAUAGGUUGCUACAGGCUAAUUGCAGUUUGAUCGCUUUUCGAUUAGUUCUGCCUGCUGUCUAUCUCUAACGUGUUCUCUAUGGAUUUUCUCUGUAUCUAAAUGGCCCCUGAUGGGGUGUAUAGGUCUUUCUUCAACAUUUAGAAUUUAUUCCUGUAUGCAGGCUAUGUUUUUAGUUAUAUGUAUAUGUAUUAUUUUGUUGGUUAUACUGGGUUGCUAUGGGAACGACCCCGGGAGGCGCACGUCUAUGACAUCAUCAGUGUCAAUUAUUUGACCUGAGCAGGCUGCUGGUCAGGUGCCCCUGGGAUCACUCCUAUCCUCAACCUGGGUAAGUUAAGGGAAUAUUGAGGGUAUAUAUUCUUAUGGAUUUGAUUUGCAAGCUCAUCCUGAUGAAAGUCUGUGAUACAGACUGAAACGCAGAUUUUUAUUUUGAGCUAAAAAAAGCUAAGUUUUAUUCAUUCAACUUGGAAGUCCCUGGAGUGCUAUCUUGUACUUUUGGAUAUAUAUAUAUAUAUAUAUAUAUAUAUAUAUAUAUAUGUGAUGACAUCACACGCUGGGAGGAAGGGUAUAUAUAUAUAUAUAUAUAUAUAUAUAUUUAUAUUUAUUAUCAUAUAAGCUGAUGUAAACAUAGAAUUGUGAAUGCUAUUUCACUCUCUUUAGGUUUGAUUGAUUCCUUUACUUUAAUGUACAUAUUAUCUUAUAACUGCAGCCAGUGGUGCGAAACUGAUUCAUUCCCCCCCUUCCCUGCUCCCCCCCACAGACACACACACACACACACACAAAGACAUACAAACAGACAGACAGACACACAUACAUACAAACAGAGAGACACACAUGCAUACAAACAGACAGGCACACACACAGACACAUACAUAAACACACAAACAGAGACACACACAUACACACAAACGCAUACACAAAACGUUUAAGUCAUCCUCCUGUUUCCUACCUUUUAGGUGCAGGAGAGUGAAUUUCCCUGGGGUCCAGUGGUGGCUCAAGUUAAUGGGAGUCAGAGUUCCCACUCUGACUCCCUCCUCUGCUUCCUCCCACGCGGGCUCUGUGUGACUGCUGGGAGGAGUGACGGGCAGACCCUUCCUCCCAGCGUGUGAUGUCAUCACAGGGGGCCCGGUUGCGCUGUUAAAGCUGACCGGGCCCCCUGAAAAUCCAUACCCAUUGGGUGACCCUGACAGCAUGGGUCACCUGAUGGACCCCUAAAAUGGCGUCUCCGGCGGCUUGCCGCGCGGGCCGGGGCCGCAAAACAUGAUGGAGGUCACCCGGUCGCAGGGGUCAGCAGGGCGGCCAGGCCCCCUGGAGUAACUGGCUUGGUCACAGCUGCAACCCCUGCGACCGCAGUAUGUACACUACUGACUGCAGCAAUAAGUAAACCCCUCACUGAAAUAUGUUAAAUGUAAGCAAUGAUUUCCUCUUUCCAUACAAGUACUUGUACUAUCCCGAGAGGCUGCAGAGCAAGGCAUUCAGGGAGAACCUGUUCAGCAGUCUAUUUUCUACAAUUAUAAGCUGACAGUGUACUCCUGAUAUUCAGGAAUUUGUGGAAUUUACUCGGAAUGCCGUAAGAACCAACAGGAGCAUCUAAAAUGGCUGAGAAUGAAAUGUUCUUGUCUGGACACCGCUAACUGCACAGGUGCAAAGCUUGGAAAGUUAAAGCUGUUUAGGAACCUUGCACGUGGCUACCUUUUUUUAUUUUUUAUUAUUCAUAUAUUACUUUUUGCAUAUGUUUAAUUGCCCUAAAAACUCACACAAUAAUAACAAUAAUUUAAACUUGGGACAAUUCUAGCUCUAAGCUGGUCAAUCAAAGUGUGAUCUAAUUUGGUUAUACACUAAUGCCAAAUACCACUGGAUUGGGACCAUCUGGAAUCCUUUGGGUUGCCAUAUUUAUAAUUCUGGGUUUUGCAAAGCAGCCUCCAAAUUAGCAGGAAUGUAGUUUUGUGUGUGUGUGUUUUUAAUAGAUGCAAUCAAAUGCAAACUGAAUGUGGUUGCCUAAGCAUCAUAGCUACUUCAUGCCAAUGUAGUGGUUAUAUUGCUAUUAGGCAGUGGGCACUAUCCUCUGGUUCUUGGAUAAACCGUUUUUGAGAAGCAAUGACUGGCUGACCUGCUCAGCUAAUCAAUAACAUCCAAACAUGCAUGAAAUUGAUACUGCUAAUGUGGAAAUGGAAAUUCUUAAAUGGACACUAUAGUCACCAGACAAUUGCAACUUAAUGUAGGGGUUCUGGUGUCUAUUGAAUGUUCCUGCUGUCUAGCACUGUAAACACUCCCUUUUCCGAGAAAAGGCAGUGUGUUUACAUUGCCGCAUAGGAACACCUCUAGUGGCAGUCGCUCUGAUGAUUCAAUGCAUCUCUAUGAGAAAAUGCUGAUUGGCGUAGUGAGUGGUUUUGCCUGGCAUGCGCAAUAGCCUCCCAACCAUUUCCUAUGGGAAAGCAUUGGAUUGGCUAAGAUCAUCAAGAAAAGAUAAAUCACCUUUAAUCUCUACAGACAAGAGGUCAGUCACCUAAACAGCCACUUCAGCACUACAGCAUCAGGAAUACAAUUCUGGUAAGCAGCAGGCUGACUGCAGAUAGCUCAGGAACACCAGGUUUUGGUAUAGCUCUUGAAAACAGUUUGAUUAAGAACCCGGGGAAGAUGACUAAUGUCUAAUAUCAACAAAUGGGCAUGUAGUGGUUAUGGUGCUUACACUAGCCCUGUAAGAGUAAAAUAGCCUAGAUUUGACUAUAGCAGAGUUGCAGAAUGUUUACAAAUCACUGUUACUGUUUAGUCUUCAUUUUGUCAAUGGAAUUUCAAUUCACUACAAUUUUCAGUCAUUAAUCCUAAAUAAGGGGCGUUAUAAUCUAAAAAAACUUCAUAUUUUAAAUUAAAAAAAGAAAAAAAGAAAUUCAGUUUAGACACAAAGGAUAUCAAAGCUGUGACAACAGCAUAAGCAGAGCCCAUUGCAAACGAACCAGCAAAAAUCCCCAGGAAAUUGCCCACAGACUGGAAGAAUGCUGCAGCAUCAAAUACAUUUGGAUUCUCCUUCGGUCUGUAAA